CAGCUUCCUUUCUCCACUCAGCUCUCCUCAUUUUGCCUGGGCACUUGCUGGCUUCAUGUCACCAGAAGGCCACAGGCAUCUCUGUCUGUUUAGACUUUCUUGCAGUAGCCACCAACACGAGUCGUUCAUUUCGCUUCAUGGUUAAACUAUGGGUCAGUUCUAAUUCAACUAUAUGUCUACACCUUGGUUUUUGGAAUGAAUCAGUAAACUUUGAGGAGGGUGAGAAGGACAGGGAGUGGUAAAUGCAUGCGAGUGGAAUCAAUAGCUUCAUCGACCUCGGAAGCAGUCUGUAAAUUGAAAGAGGCAAAAAUCAUCACAGUCCCCAUUUCUCCACUGAGAUUCUGUGGGAGGGCCUGGAAUCAUUGAGGCUAGAAAAGUACACCCAUCAGAUGAACUGGUAAAUGAUUAGGACCGAACAGAAGAAUUCUGCUUCUGCAUAAAGGCUGUGACUUCCUGACACUGUUUGUUUCACUGACAAAUGUUUUCUGUCCUCAGACAGAGCUGAGCCCCUGUGAGAAGCCUGUCACAACUGGCUUUGUCAAGAACACCGCUUAGCUACUCACUACAAUUUCUCUAAAGAGGGCUGCCUGCCUUUCCCCAGAUGGACAUAGGGUGCUGCGUCCACAAGGAGGUGGGAUCCAUUGUUCUUCCCCAGCAAUGGCUUCUGGGGAUUUUAGCUUAAUCAGUCUCCAUUUCAGGACCUAGAGUUAGCAUUCUCUCUCCCACUCACUUUCCCAUCAGUCCCACAGCAGAACACAUUCCUUGUCCAAAUAUCUGCAACCCUUGAUCACUAAUCUUCCCACCAGCUGUCAGUGAGAGGCCUGUUAAAUGUUCCCAUCUUGAAAGCCUUCUGAUGGAGACAAAUGGGAAAUAAACUUGCUGCGAAGCAGCUCCUAGUACAUUUAUGUCUCUCGAUUCCCUUUACUUUCUCUCUGCUCUGAGGCUUGGAUAUAGAAUGGAGGCUGGUUUUCAGUGACAGAUGGCUGAGGAUAAUCUCCCAUUUUGUCAUCAAGUUAACCCUCAGAGGGUCUUGAAAAAGACCUUUUUUCUUGGAAAAUUAGUGGCUUCAUAUAUCCCUGCUUUUGACCAAGUAGAACAAGCUUCUCCUUUCUGAUUUUCGAAAUAGAAAACAUGCCUUUCCUUUUAAGCUAACCCACCUUGAAAAACACUAAAUGAAAAACACUUCAUUUUGUUUUAUUUAUGAUUCCGUGAGUGCCUUGCUCAUUUUAAUUAAUGAUGAUUUGCCUGUGUUUGAGCCCUAGCAAUAAAUUCUAAAACCGGGCUAUUAAAGAUAAUCCAAUUAACAAACCCAAGAAAGAUGUCUUCCAGAGUAAUUUGUUGAUAUUUUUACUGAGGAAGAAGACUAAAUGAAGUACAAGACUGAAAUUACUUUUUAAGAUGACGAAAUUAGGACACAGACAUAUACAGAGGAAAGGCCGUGUGAAUACAGGAAGAAGACCAUCUACAAAUAAAGGAGAGUCCUCAGGAGGAGCCAACCCUGCUACCAUCUUUGUUGUAGGCGGCGGGAAUGGCACCAGAUGUCUGACCGGUGGGGUCAGACCAAAACUGGGCUCAGCAGCCUCGGUACAAAGACCCUUUUGAUGACAUUGGACCCACCCAGAUAAUACAAGGUAAUUUCACAAGUUCUAGAAAUUAGAAGGCAGACAUCCUCAAGGAGCUACUGUUCUAUCUACCACACCUGAAAACACCAUCUUGUUAGCAAGAUGUGCCUCAGUCUUGACAUCUAUUAAAAGGGGAGAGAGACAUCCUUACUCAUAAGGUUGCUAUGAGAAUUUAUUGAGUUUGUUCAUGUGAAUGGUGCCUGGAACAUAGUAUAUGCUCGGUAGUAUUAGCUAUUAUCAUAACUAUAUUGUUAUCUAUUUACCUUCUUUGCCCCACACUAGAUUGCUAGUUCCUUGAAGAAAAGAACAGUAUUUCUAGGUUCCAGCAUAGAAU